rnacentral:rRNA from 1 species
CGUGUAGGCGGUCAGGUAAGUGGAAUGUGAAAUGCCCCGGCUCACCCGGGGACCCGGCAUCCCAAACUGCCUGGCUUGAGUAUGGGAGAGGAUGGAGGAAUUCCUGGUGUAGCGGUGAAAUGCGUAGAUAUCAGGAGGAACACCGGUGGCGAAGGCGUCCAUCUGGCCCAAUACUGACGCUGAGGCGCGAAAGCUAGGGGAGCAAACG